CUGGCCUACGGGGCGCAGCAGUAGGGAAUCUUUCACAAUGGGCGAAAGCCUGAUGGAGCAAAGCCGCGUGGGUGAAGAAGGUCUUCGGAUCGUAAAACCCUGUUGUUAGAGAAGAAAGUGCGUGAGGGUAACUGUUCACGUUUCGACGGUAUCUAACCAGAAAGCCACGGCUAACUACGUGCCAGCAGCCGCGGUAAUACGUAGGUGGCAUGCGUUAUCCGGAUUUAUUGGGCGUAAAGGGAACGCAGGCGGUCUUUUAAGUCUGAUGUGAAAGCCUUUGGCUUAACCGGAG
rnacentral:rRNA from 1 species